GCUCCAUCAUCAGCCAUCUUCAACUCAGCUCCGGACUCAACCAGGUCUCUCCCAGAACCGGGUCUGAACCAGGUCUGGACCAGGUCUGAACCAGGCCCCGGACUGGCCCUGGGUCUGACCCGCACCUCCGGACCCCCAGACCGACCCGCGCGCGGAGCCGCAGCCGGGAAACAGGUGCCUCAUCCCGGACACAACCAGCGCUUGUGUCCGCUCUCUGACGCGGAGCUCCGGAGCUGACACUAAGGGUUUGUGAGACCCGCAGCCGGGGACAGAGCCUCUAUCCCGGGCUGUGGAGGUGAGUCAGGUCAGUGAAGCAUGAUGGGAAACUGAGCCUCGAUGGACCAGGAAAUAUCCCUCCUCUCUCUGAGGAAGCUGGCCGCAGAGCCUCAGUACUCAGACGUGUCGUUGCCCCCGGUGGAGAGGGUCCGCGCUCUGGGGAGGAUGGGGCGGAGCGUGCAGGUGGAGGUGGACCUUUCUCCACACCUGUACCUGCGCUGGGGGCGGGACAUGGAGCGCAUGGCCGCCGCCUACCACCAGGAGGAGCAGCUCGAGAACGCAUACGUGCUGUACAACAAAUUCAUCACUUUGUUUGUGGAGAAGCUUCCACUGCACAGAGACUACCACGAGUGCAGCUCCAGCCCUGAGAAGGUCUUUAUCAUGAAGAAACUUCAGGAGGUAGCGUUUCCUCGACGAGACGAACUCAAGAAAAAACUAGAGGAAAAGUACAACAGAGAGUAUGCAGGCUACCUCAAUAACAAGAGCCAAUCAGCAGCAGAAGUGCGUGACGAGCAGCAGCACCAACAAGCCUCCCCAUUGGCUGUCACUCCCGGCGCUCUCCUAUUGGCUGACGGCUCGUUGGGGCAGGGCCAGUGGCUGGAGCAGGAGCGGCGGCGCGUCGAUGACCUCAGACGGCGACAGAUCGAAUCAGAGCAGUUUAUACGGUUUGAAGAGCAGCUGAGGAGGCAGGAACGGGCCAAUCAGAGAGAGGAGGGGGCGGGACUACAGGCCAAUCUGAGAGAAGAGGGGGCAGGACCGCAUGAAUCGGCCAAUCAGGAAGAACAACAGGUGGCGCUCAGAGAUUCAGAUGUGACUGACGGUUCCUGUCUGUCCCAGCAGCAAAUCAGAGCCAGCGAGCAGCCUGAGGGGGCGGGGCAUAAAAGGACCAGAGCAGCUCCCGUCCAAUCUGCUGCCGCGCUGUCUGCAGUUCACUCUGAGCGGUUGGAAGGUCUGAGGCGGGUGGUGCUUCCUAGAGACCUGACUCUGAGAUUUCUGCGUUUGGCCGAAUCCAACACGAACCGAGGCCUGGAGACCUGUGGAGUGCUCUGCGGCAGACUGGCGCGAGAGGAGUUGGUGGUCACUCACGUUGUCGUUCCAAAGCAGACGUCAGGUCCAGACUUCUGUGACAUGGAGAAUGUUGAGGAACUGUUCUGCUUCCAGGAUCAACAGAACCUCCUGACGCUGGGCUGGAUCCAUACUCAUCCCACUCAGACGGCGUUCCUCUCGUCUGUCGACCUUCACACUCACUGCUCCUUUCAGCUCAUGCUCCCAGAGGCCAUCGCUGUAGUGUGUGCGCCCAGACACAACGAUUGUGCCGUGUUCAGACUCACUGGACCUGGGAUCUCUGCAGUAUCUCGCUGUCGACUUAAAGGAUUCCACCCUCACUCCAGAGACCCCCCUCUGUUCUCUGUGUGUAAACAUGUGCUUGUGAGGGAUUGUGCAGUGAUGUUGUUGGACCUCAGGUGACACACAGGGGGCGCUCUGUCUGUGCUCCACUGUGCCUCCUCCUCCACCUCCUCCUCCUCCACCUCCUCUACACCUGGACUCUGAGCUAAUGAGGGAUUUGGUUUAGACCUGGUUUUGUC